CUAAUACCGCAUACGUCCUACGGGAGAAAGCAGGGGACCUUCGGGCCUUGCGCUAUCAGAUGAGCCUAGGUCGGAUUAGCUAGUUGGUGAGGUAAUGGCUCACCAAGGCGACGAUCCGUAACUGGUCUGAGAGGAUGAUCAGUCACACUGGAACUGAGACACGGUCCAGACUCCUACGGGAGGCAGCAGUGGGGAAUAUUGGACAAUGGGCGAAAGCCUGAUCCAGCCAUGCCGCGUGUGUGAAGAAGGUCUUCGGAUUGUAAAGCACUUUAAGUUGGGAGGAAGGGCAGUAAAUUAAUACUUUGCUGUUUUGACGUUACCGACAGAAUAAGCACCGGCUAACUCUGUGCCAGCAGCCGCGGUAAUACAGAGGGUGCAAGCGUUAAUCGGAAUUACUGGGCGUAAAGCGCGCGUAGGUGGUUUGUUAAGUUGGAUGUGAAAGCCCCGGGCUCAACCUGGGAACUGCAUUCAAAACUGACAAGCUAGAGUAUGGUAGAGGGUGGUGGAAUUUCCUGUGUAGCGGUGAAAUGCGUAGAUAUAGGAAGGAACACCAGUGGCGAAGGCGACCACCUGGACUGAUAC
rnacentral:rRNA from 1 species